rnacentral:rRNA from 1 species
AUUGCCUCAGUAACGGCGAGUGAAGUGGCAACAGCUCAAAUUUGAAAUCUGGCCUCAGGCCCGAGUUGUAAUUUAUAGAGGAUGCUUUUGGUUAGGUGCCUUCCGAGUUCCCUGGAAUGGGACGCCAUAGAGGGUGAGAGCCCCGUCUGGUCGGAUGCCGAGCCUCUGUAAAGCUCCCUCGACGAGUCGAGUAGUUUGGGAAUGCUGCUCAAAAUGGGAGGUAUAUGUCUUCUAAAGCUAAAUACCGGGCAGAGACCGAUAGCGCACAAGUAGAGUGAUCGAAAGAUGAAAAGCACUUUGAAAAGAGAGUUAAAUAGCACGUGAAAUUGUUAAAAGGGAAGCGUUUGUGACCAGACUUGCGCCGACUGAUCAACCAGCGUUCUCGCUGGUGCACUCUGUCGGCUCAGGCCAGCAUCGGUUCGCCCCGGGGGACAAAAGCUAGGGGAAUGUGGCUCCUCGGAGUGUUAUAGCCCCUAGCAUAAUACCCUGAGGCGGACCGAGGUUCGCGCAUUGCAAGGAUGCUGGCGUAAUGGUCAUCAACGACCCGUCUUGAAACACGGACCAAGGAGUCGUCUUCGUAUGCGAGUGUUCGGGUGUCAAACCCCUACGCGUAAUGAAAGUGAACGCAGGUGAGAGCUUCGGCGCAUCAUCGACCGAUCCUGAUGUUCUCGGAUGGAUUUGAGUAAGAGCAUACGGGGCCGGACCCGAAAGAAGGUGAACUAUGCUUGUAUAGGGUGAAGCCUGGGGAAACCCCGGUGGAGGCUCGCAGCGGUUCUGACGUGCAAAUCGAUCGUCAAAUAUGAGCAUGGGCGCGAAAGACUAAU